CUCUGUAUUCAGUGCAAUGAAGAAUCAUCUGGUGUAGUGAAGUUUACAGCAAGAACAGACUUGACUUGGAAAUAACUUACAGGCUUAUAAGGAGUCAUCUACAAGUUUAACUUUGGAGGGUUUAAGAAUAUAGGCUGCUGUGAUUUAGUUGUCCCUUGAGGAGAGGAGCACAAAUCAAGAAGGGUUUCAGGUGUGUUGUUCCAUUUCAAUUUACCAGGAUGACCUAUAAAAGGCAUUUCAGACCCUGAAGCAACAAGCUGAGGAGAAAAUUUGAGCAAAUGGGCUUUUGAACACCUCUUAGACCCCCAGCUCUUCCUCUGCCUGUGAAUAGAACUGGCCCUGAAGGGAAGAAUUCUAUUGCCUUUGUAUAAUCUGUACCCCUCAGGAGAGGGUUUCAGGCUACUCUGAAUAACCCUAUUACAUAGCACAACUUCAGUGUACCAACAGUGAUAU